ensembl:lncRNA
GAAGAGAUGCCAUUCAUCGCAGAGUUCAAAAGCAGAUGGCCGGCCCUCUUCAAAGUACCUGAGGUAUGAGUUUGAGUCUUGGUUAAAAACUGGCCGUGAACAGAAAAGUACUGCUACAAAGCUGAUGUCACCGAGCUGAUGUCUUUUCAGCUUAGUGCAGCUAAAUUGUGUUGUGAGAAGGGCAGCUCCAAUAGAAUGAAAAAUUUUGGGAAAACAGGACGUUGCUAACAUGAUACACGUCAGUUUCCUUUUACAACUAAAGUGCAAAAUUUGUGCAUUUAGUGAUUUUUUUUUUUUUUUUUUUUUUUUUGUACUGCAUGGGUGAGGCACUCUUUUGCAGCCACCUGAUUCUGCCGGUCCAUCUAUAAAUGUUUUGGGUGGGAUGUUGGAAUAACUUAUGUCGAUUUAAAAAUCUUUUUUUUUCCUUUUUUGUAAUCGUAAUUGAUUUUGCACAUUCCCAUCUGAUUAACCAAUCCCCCCCCCCCCCCCCCCCUUUUUUUUCUUUCUUUAAAUCAAACCUGGACAGCACCAGAACUUUUUGUCUGGGAUUAGAUCAGGUUUGGUCUGGAUUUAGUCCCGUUUUGAGCUGAACUAUUUAAAAAAUGUAUUUUUGAACUUUGUAGAUCAAUGCGGAGUUCACCCGAAUCACCACAGUUCCACUGCUGUCCACAUUCAUGAGCAGUCUUGACCAGUACUCUGACCAGUUGAUGAAGAUUCUACGAAAAAAAAGGAGGGGAAACAGCGCGGCGGAUCACAGCAGCGUUAUCUGCAAUUUCACAGCACUCCUAUGCAACAACACUUUUCUUCCUUCUUUCGGGUGGUACACCACGCUAAAGCUGCAUUUUC